rnacentral:rRNA from 1 species
AUACGGAGGAUCCGAGCGUUAUCCGGAUUUAUUGGGUUUAAAGGGUGCGCAGGCGGCCAUUUAAGUCAGCGGUUAAAUCGUGGGGCUCAACCCCAUUCUGCCGUUGAUACUGGGUGGCUUGAUUGCGGUCGAGGUUGGCGGAAUUCGUUGUGUAGCGGUGAAAUGCAUAGAGAUGACGAAGAACACCGAUUGCGUAGGCAGCUGACCAGAGCGCAAAUGAAGCUCAUGCACGAAAGUGCGGGGAUCGAACAGGAUAGAUGCCCUGGUAGUCCGCACAGUAAACGAUGAAUACUUGUUUUCGGCGAUACAAUGUCGGAGGCAAAGCGAAAGCGAUAAGUAUUCCACCUGGGGAGUACGCCGGCAACGGUGAAACUCAAAGGAAUUGACGGGG